GGGUUGGAUGCAAAUAGUUUCUCGAUAAAACAGAAAUACAGAACUGGAGGGAAGAUGGGACGGGAGACUUGGCAGCCAUUCCGACAGAGACAGAAGUGACAGCUGUAGAGAAACAGCUGGGACCAAUCUGCUACAUUUGGAACCCUUGCUCCACUGCUCACAAGCCAUCGGACCUCAGACAAGUUUCUUCACCUUUCUGACACUGUUUCCUCUACUAACUACUCGUGGAAUCUCCAUGGAGACUAAGGAGAACUGACCCCAAGAUGACCUUUGUUUUCCUCCCCACUGUCUGUUAACUCCUCAAGUCUGGAUUCUGACGGAAGUGUGAACAGAAUGAAUGAGUGAGUGAAUGAAUGAGGAGCCGAUGAAAUGUUCAAGCUUGGGAUUCUCAUUUUGCAGUGGAAGAAACAAAAACAGCUAUAGUCCAGGGACAUGUACAUAACAGGGCCUGACCAGUCAAGAUUUGAACCCAGGCAACCUAAGCCCUUGCCUUUGUGGGGAUUGUGGGCAAGCGUUUAUUUGGGAAAGCUAACUGAGACCAAAGCUAUCUGGGUGAAAUACCCAGGCUAGCUCUGCACAGUCUAGAAAAUAAUAGUAUUGAAAUUGCAAAAGUCUCCACUGAUAAACUUUCAGAGCCGAAACCUCGAGAGACCAGAUGAGGUCAACCGAACAAACAAGCUGAUUCCAGGUCCUGUGGCUUGCUGCCCAUCUCUCUCCACUCCCACCCUGGAGAAGGCUGCAGCCUCCUCUCAGGUUUCCCCCUCACCCCCUUGGCUCUGUGAGUGUGAAUCUGCUGAUGGUUGCAGCUUGAGUAGGUGGAAUGUGGUGGGAAGGAAAAAGCAUUGGAGAAGUCAAGAAUAAAGGAAACAACUGGUUUUUCAGUUUCAGUAAUUAUAAAAUCAGUAGUGGUCCAUGGCAGACAUUGCAAUCCUGUUUCCUAGACUCUGUCUCCCACCCUCUUUCCAGCUAGAUAUGGUCACAGGACUCAAAUCAGGCCAUUCAGGUUAAGUCUUCCUUAAGUCCUUUUGUCCCCCACUCCCUUGGGCAGUCCUCCUGUCCAUGUCUCUCUUUGAAUGAAUAUGUAGCAAUUGGUUGUGUAGGGAUUAAAGACAUAUGUGAUAACUGGGGUAUGGAGGUACAAUGCAAAUAUGACUGAGAUCAAAUGCAUUAUGAGAACCGGGGUGCAGGACCUGACAUAUUUAGGCUGUGAAGGGAAAGCCAGGAACAUCUCAGACAUCAGUUCUGCAUUGUUGAGCUUUUAUACCACCAAAGUUCAGAGUUUUGCUGUUUUCAUCCAAGGAUGAUGCUAUCUACAAUAUCAUUAUAGAAAAGUUACAAAGAUACAGGAAAAAUUCUGUACCUAUUACACAGAAAUAACCAAACUUGUUAUUUCAACAUAUAUUCUUUCUCUUUUAUUGUUUUUUUUUCCAAAAAUACAGAAUAGAAACUCCAUUUGCAAGUGAUUCUUCCUGGUAUGCUGUGGUCACCUUUCUACCUUAGUUAUGUCCAUCUUUAUCACAUGGGUUUCCAAGAGUAGUUUAAUCCCAGAUUGCCAAAUAGCUGUUGCUUUCAGUUUUUUACAAUUGUUAACAAUAAUUGUUUGCACAUGUUUGUAAAUUCAUCUUUGUCUGAUUAUUUCCUUUAGAUUGCUAAAAUUGUUGGACUAAAAACAAUGCGUGUGUGUGUGUGUGUGUGUGUGUGUGUGUGUGUUGUGGAUGACGAUGUACAUACACUCAGAGGCUAGAACAGGGCAUCAGGUGUCUUCAUCUACCAUUCUCUUUCUUAUUGCUUUCAGAUAGGGUCUCUCACUGGACCAGAAGCUCACUGUUUUAGCUAGAUGUGACUUGCCAGUGAGCUCUGGGGACCUGCCUGUCUCUGCCUUCCAAUGCUGCAGUUACAGGCAUGCCCAGCUACACACUGUUGAUGGAGUUUCUGUUCCACCUGGUCCUGCCACCCUUCAGGCCCCAAUAAAUACACACUUUUAUUAAUU